UCAAUAACCUCCAAUGACAAGCAGGAGGCGGGACAACUUUAUGGGACUGGGCCAACUGGAGAAUCAACCGCCUGCGGGGCGGGGCUGCGCUGGAUUCCUUAUCUACAUGAAACAGAGCUGCCCAGGUUACAACAGGAUCCACAUGUAGAAGACUUUGGAAGCGAUGGAACAUAAUGAGGUUGCAUGGGCUGUUUAUAAACCAAACCAUAUUAAAGGGAAACUAUACCCUCUGCAACUAUGAA